UACGAAGGGGGCUAGCGUUGCUCGGAAUCACUGGGCGUAAAGCGCACGUAGGCGGAUUGUUAAGUCAGGGGUGAAAUCCUGGAGCUCAACUCCAGAACUGCCUUUGAUACUGGCGAUCUCGAGUCCGGGAGAGGUGAGUGGAACUGCGAGUGUAGAGGUGAAAUUCGUAGAUAUUCGCAAGAACACCAGUGGCGAGGGCGGCUCACUGGCCCGGUACUGACGCUGAGGUGCGAAAGCGUGGGGAGCAAACAGG
rnacentral:rRNA from 1 species